UAGCUCAAACAGUACCUUCAUAAAGAACCUUUCAGAAAAAAUGCCCCUCGCAAUAUGGCGGCGACGUUCACGUGCGUUCCGGAUCUCCAUUGUAUUUCGUUCGUUCGGGGAACGAGCCGAAAUUCCCAUCUCUAGUAUCGUGUCUGCGACAGCCAAUCACGUUUCGUUUCAGCCCCUGUGGAGCCUCUCUACAGGUGAUUGGUGGCCUCGGCCAGCCAAUCAGAUGGCGUGUUUCACAGCAAAGUUGUUAACCCCCAACAGUAGCACUUUGCUUUCCAGCUCUCUAGUUUCGACCAACGGAAGGAAAAUAGGGCUUUUACCGACUGAAAGACGCCGUUUGACGGCCCGGAUGUUGAACGGGAGCCGGCCGCUUCUCACCGGCUGGUUCUGUUCGUGAAACUAAGUAGAACCAGCGAUGGCUAACGUUGAUGUUAACUCCCUCUGUGGCUCGCUGCGUCGUGUUCUCUGUCGUCUCUCUCUCUCGGGUUUUUCUUCUUCUUCUGGUUAAACUUGCAGAAAUGUUCCCUAUCUGUCCCGAAGGCUUCCACGUUUCCACACAGAUCCACUCGAUCAUCUUUGUGGAAGUUAUGGGUUUAAGAAUGAAAAUAAAAACCUUUAUUCUCUGCCUGGACCCAGGAUGAUCACAGCAUCAACAGAUGGAGGCAGCAUUGCGCACGCUGUGACUCAUUUCACCUGGAGUAAACAUCUUUUUUAUGUGCCACUUAGUUGUGGCAUCACUGCUGAUGAGGUUCAGUGGAUCUGAACAGUUUUUCCUGCUCAUCCAGCAACGACUGCAUCCUUAGUGUUUAAUGGGUGGAGUGAGUUAGUCAUGUUUUUCUUGUUUUCACACCAAAAAAAAUGAAAAAAAUAAAAAAAGCAACAAACAGCCUUAUUUUCUAGGUGGAGUUGACUUAAUUUUGCUCAAAAUUACUACAUUGCUUAACUUUCAAACAUGGGUUGCAUAAAAUAUUAAGUAUUAUGAGUAUUUUUAUCAUGUAUAAAUUAUUUUAACUGUUUAUUGAUAGGAGGAAUUAAUAUAUCUACAUGUAAGGAACUGAGCAUAUAAGUGCAAAACAAAGGGGAAUUAUUUCUAGAAACGAUACAGAAACUUGAAUUAGUCUUUAGAAUAUUUAAAAGAUCACUUGCACAACUGUGUUGUUUUUCAUUUUUUAAUUAUUUAUUUUUCAUAUAAGUUGGAUUGGUUUGGGAUAUUCCGUCAGUUGUGCCAUUUUUUUAAACCUGGUAUUUUAUUUACAUGUUUUGGUCAUAAAUGCGUAUGUUAGUAGUUUUUGUAGUUUGUGGGUUUACUGUGGUAUUUAUUUACGACU